AACGAACGCUGGCGGCAGGCUUAACACAUGCAAGUCGAGCGCCCCGCAAGGGGAGCGGCAGACGGGUGAGUAACGCGUGGGAAUCUACCCAUCUCUACGGAAUAACGCAUGGAAACGUGUGCUAAUACCGUAUACGUCCUUCGGGAGAAAGAUUUAUCGGAGAUGGAUGAGCCCGCGUUGGAUCAGCUAGUUGGUGGGGUAAAGGCCUACCAAGGCGACGAUCCAUAGCUGGUCUGAGAGGAUGAUCAGCCACACUGGGACUGAGACACGGCCCAGACUCCUACGGGAGGCAGCAGUGGGGAAUAUUGGACAAUGGGCGUAAGCCUGAUCCAGCCAUGCCGCGUGAGUGAUGAAGGCCCUAGGGUUGUAAAGCUCUUUCACCGGUGAAGAUAAUGACGGUGACCGGAGAAGAAGCCCCGGCUAACUUCGUGCCAGCCGCCGCCGUAACAC
rnacentral:rRNA from 1 species